UUGGGUCUGGUUUGGUUUUUCUUUAUUCAACAGAGAAGAUGAGAAGAAGAAUAAAUAAUUGAUAAGUGAAAAAAUUGGUCAGACCAAGGAUGGGCCUGAGAAGUCGUCUGCUCCCACAGAAGGAAACUGGGCCCACGGAGCUUGUGACCUGGCAGCAGAACCAGAGCUGACCCCCUUUUCUGCCCCGAACGGCCCUUCCCUGGGGAACCCGAGAACAUCUCGGAACCAGGUUGGCGCCUCGGACACCAAAUCUCCCCUGGGUCUCAAAGGCCCUUUCUGGACUGGCAUCCUUGCCAGCCUCCGGUCGCUGAGAACAAUUCCUGAGGCCAGUGACCAGCCAGUGCCUGGAUGAAUGACCCUCCCUAGGGCAGAGAUCAUGGGGUCACACCUUAGAGGAGGGUGGUCUUAACCUGGGACCCUGAAGUUGGGUUUUGAAAUACAUUAACGCUGUGUUAUGGUGUGAUAUUAUAAACGUAUUUUAUUUCAUUUACAAAAACCGAUUGUGAAAAGUGCUCCAUAAAUU
rnacentral:lncRNA from 1 species